GACGAACGCUGGCGGCGUGCCUAAUACAUGCAAGUAGAACGCUGAAGAGAGGAGCUUGCUCUUCUUGGAUGAGUUGCGAGCGGGUGAGUAACGCGUAGGUAACCUGCCUUGUAGCGGGGGAUAACUAUUGGAAACGAUAGCUAAUACCGCAUAACAAUGGAUGACACAUGUCAUUUAUUUGAAAGGGGCAAUUGCUCCACUACAAGAUAGACCUGCGUUGUAUUAGCUAGUAGGUGAGGUAAUGGCUCACCUAGGCGACGAUACAUAGCCGACCUGAGAGGGUGAUCGGCCACACUGGGACUGAGACACGGCCCAGACUCCUACGGGAGGCAGCAGUAGGGAAUCUUCGGCAAUGGGGGCAACCCUGACCGAGCAACGCCGCGUGAGUGAAGAAGGUUUUCGGAUCGUAAAGCUCUGUUGUAAGUCAAGAACGGGUGUGAGAGUGGAAAGUUCACACUGUGACGGUAGCUUACCAGAAAGGGACGGCUAACUACGUG
rnacentral:rRNA from 1 species